UAUUGUCACCAUGCCACUCUGAACACACCUGAUCAUUUCUUCCUUUGGAAGCUAAGCGGUUUCAGACCUGGUUAGUGCUUCGAUGGGAGACCACCAGGGAAUAUCACACAUUUCCACUAA
rnacentral:rRNA from 1 species